CUUCUUUCAGUGACACUGAUACGAAAUUUUAUUGAAGCAUUUCACUGUUUCAUGUCUUCAGAUAAAUUACACAGAGAAACAGUCUUACAAGAGAUUAUUACUCUGUCCUGUGGCAUGUGUAUCUACCUUUAAGCUUUAUUUCUAUGAAAUAUAAUCUGUUAUUUGACUGCAGCCAUACUGGAGCACCGCCUUUAGUCGAACAAAUCGAUCUCAGGACUUAUUCUUUGUAAGCCUAGUACUUAUCCUAUCGGUGUCUUUUCCCGAACCGCUAAGUUACGGGGAGGUAAACACACCAACAUCUGUUGUCAAGCGAUGGUGGGGGACAAACACACAAACAUACACACACAUAAACACACACACACAUACACAUACAUGCAUGCAUACACACACACACAUACAAUGGACUACUUUUAGUUUCCGCCUACCAAAUCCACUCACAAGGCUUUGGUCGGGUCGAGGCUAUAGUGACACGCAGUGGGAUUGAACCCGGAACCAUGUGGUACCACACAGCUACGCCUGCGCCUAUGUUUAGUCAUAAUAAAGACAAUUUUACAUUAAUUUGAGGGGGUUAUUUUAUACUUUUGUAGAAUACAAGUUUAUUUUUAAACAAGAAUAUUGUUGACAAUGACUUCGAAGUUUCAUCCAGUUAAGCCAUUGUCGGACUAUAUAUAUGUAGUGAAACCACCUCUCUCACGGUUAUAUAUUUACAAAUGCGAGCGUAGCAGGGAACAACUCUUUCCCGCCUUGCUGUGUCAUCACCUGACUGACUUUUAUUUUCGCGGCAUUUGCCUCCAGUCCGUUCGCGCCAGGACGCAAACCGACCAACCGUAACCACUAAUAAGGUCACGUGAGAGAGUGUUUUUAUGAUGCUAUCUGUACCUAUAAAUAGCCUAAAUUAUCCGCGCCAGUUCGUCGCGGCUACAAAUCCUCACAGAUCUGGUCGUUGACCACACACGUAACACAGCCAGCCAGUUCCAGCGACGACAUCAACAGCAUCGUUCAACUACGUACUACCAGCAUCGUCGCCAACGUCAACAUGAUUUCUCCACGUACACAAGCAACCGCAGCUUCUCUUCUCAACCCUGUUGUGUGAAUUGUUCACCACGAAAUUAACAGCCAGAACUCAACCUGCGAAGAACAUCUGUAUCAAGAAUCCGGCCCGGCAUCGAAGCCUCAACUGCACGACAAGUGACUUAGCUCUGCCGCAACCAUAACCUCUGAUAUACAGACCUACAUAUCUACUGUGUACCUUAACAGAACUGGUAUCUUAUUAUCCUGUGUUGCAGACUCUUUCUAUGCUUUGUAUCUCUUGCAUUCACAUACAUAUAUUUGUAUACAUACUCUUCUGUUUAUAUGAUGGCCUGUCUUAUAUUGUGUUUUAUUAUGUCGCAUUCACACACACACAGACAUACAGUUUAAUGCCCCAAUAAAUCUUACUGUUAUUCAUCUUUA